GCUAUAUCACGUUGAAACACCAGUUCCCCGGAUGUUCACUGAAGUUAAGCAACCCCAAACCUGAUCAGUACUUAGAUGGGUGACUCCUUGGGAAACCAUGUGCUGUAAG